GUACGCUGGCGGCACGCCUAACACAUGCAAGUCGAACGAAGUAGCAAUACUUAGUGGCAGACGGGUGAGUAACAUGUAGGUAUCUGCCCUUUGGCCUGGAAUAACACGAGGAAACUUGUGCUAAUACUGGAUAAGUCUUUACGGAGAAAGCUUUAUGCACCAUUGGAUGAGCCUGCACUUGAUUAGUUUGUUGGUAGGGUAAUGGCCUACCAAGACUGUGAUCAAUAGCUGAUUUGAGAGGAUGAUCAGCCACAUUGGGACUGAGACACGGCCCAAACUCCUACGGGAGGCAGCAGUGGGGAAUCUUGCACAAUGGAGGAAACUCUGAUGCAGCGAUGCCGCGUGAGUGAAGAAGGCCUUUGGGUUGUAAAGCUCUUUCGUCGGGGAAGAAAAUGACUGUACCCGAAUAAGAAGGUCCG
rnacentral:rRNA from 1 species